GCAUGAACGAAGAGAAAAAAAAAGAACUGUUUAAUCACAAAACGUGGGCUUUAACGACGCUUACCAAGAUUGAGUGCCUUACAGAGAAUCGCCACUGACGGAAGUGAAGCAGAGAUAGGUGUCAAGUGGUAAGAACUGGUGUGACUUCGAUUCGAAUGUGACAUCGAAGGCCUGCCAAACACUCCUAGCGUGAUGAACUGAUACCUCAAGAAGCAAUUCAACUUUGACUUCAGAAACCGAAUUUUAGAUUGAUUCAACGACAGAUAGUUGGCGAAGAUUGUGAGAAGAACGCUCGUGUCUAACGCAUCAUGCGUGACCCGGUCACUGAAGCCAACGGUCUCCUUCGAAAUUGUCGUGUUUCUAAGUGGAAGACAUGGAGUGCCUCUCUAUUUAAAACUCCACUGACGAUGCCUCUUUUCCUCACCUAUGUGCUUCCUACAACAUUCUGUGCCCACUUCAACACGCUCAGCAAGACUGUGUUGCUUCUCCACGCAUUUCCGAAAGCUUUCAAGGCAUGAAGCGAGAGUGAACCUCUUCGACUGGUUAGCAACAAUGGUCAGAGAAUUAGAGACUAUGUAUACCGACUAGUGCCUUCGGAAAAGGUGUCUUCGACAACGUGUGUCUUCGACAAUGAUCCGAUGCUUCCUCGGAUAGACUGAAGGUAGCGUAUAAUUUUAGGCGAUACAGCUCCGGCAAAACUGCUGUGCCAGCCUUUCGUAGGCACCGUGCCAUGUUGCCGCAGGACUAUUUCGAGCACAGCUUGAGGACGACGGCAACCAUUUCCCCAUUGUGAGAGCGCGUCUAUCGAUGAACUUAAAGCAAUGACUUGUUUUUGGUAUGCGUAAGUUACGCGCGGCUGUAUAGUUUAGGAGAAAAAUUCGAGAAAAUUCUUGUUUAUGCAGCCACUAAGGAACCCACUCUCAAGCUCCACAUCCUUCGAAAACCAUCGGCUAUGUGACAGCAUUGACGGCUAUUCGAUUUUCCUCAGCAAGUGUGAAGAUGAUUAAGUCGAGUCAGGAUCUGUGCUGAAUUCAAACUGCGCUUCACCUGUGACGCGCCAUUUAACCCUAACGCAAUGCAAAGAAAACGUUUAUUCGGGCAGACAUCAAUUCUCUCAUUGGUUAGCUAUACAAUCAUUUGUUGCUUCGAUGUCUACGCUCGCUUUUCUACGGUGAGUACAGAAGUUUAAGGUUAAGAACAUUAUAAGGUAUGCAACACCAUUAAAGUCUGAAAAACUAUAGAGCGUCUCAGACGUUAAUGAGCCUAUGAAAUUGAAAAUCUGAUGUUGAAGGGUUGUGAUCGCUUUUUCUCUGUGUCAAUGACAUGUAACUAGAACGUAAAAGUGUCAUCUAAGGAUGAUCUACAUGUGCGGAAUAAAAAAUAAAGUGUGGCCAUAGUUCCUGUUGGCGUGGUGCUAUCACGCUAGUGCAUGCAUACGAUAAUGUGUUUAAUGUUUCUAUGGUUUAUUAAAAGACAGCCCUGCGUAAUAACGGUGACCACUGGUGUAGAAUCGUUGUAUAUAACGCUUCAGAGGAAGUUUAGUUUGAAGAAGAAAAAUGAGCUUUGCAACACGCAUUUGAGCGAAUUUCGCUCGUUAAAGAGAAGCAAUAAAAAUGAAACCUCGUG